ensembl:lncRNA
ACAUUUCCAAAUGUUUAUGUUGCACUAAGAAUGUUUUUAACCUUGCCGGUGUCUAACUGUGAGGGUGAGAGGUCGUUUUCUGUUUUGAAACAAGUUAAAAAUGAGCUGAGGACCACAAUGUCACAGACACGGCUCUCUGCACGUUCUCUCUUGGCCAUCAAACAUGAACUUGUUAGUGCCCUUGAUUUUGAAGAUAUUGCACACCAGUUUGCACAUUCAAAGUCCAGACAAAUGCCACUGUAAGAUGUGUUUGCCAAAUGAAAUCGAUCCAUCCAUCCAUCGUCAAACCGCUUAUCCUGCACACAGGGUCGGGCAGGGGGGGCUGGAGUGUAUCCCAGCCAACUUCGGGCGAGAGACGGGGUAAACCCUGGAUUGUUCGCCAGCCAAUCGCAGGGCUAACACAGAUAUAUCCCAUACCAUAUACCAUAUACACCAUAUAUACUAAAUACAAUAUAACAUAUAUAUAUAUAUAGUGCUGAGUAGUUAUACCAUUCACUUCCCCUCUUGAAAAUCACCAGUUUGAGUCUUUUUUUAAACAAAGUCUUGCUUGGACUUUGCUUCAGCUCUUUUUGAAGUUCAUUCCAGACCUUCACACCACUGACUGAAAUGCACAUUCGCUUCAUGGUGGUUCGAACCCUCAAGGUUCUGAAGUUAAGGUUUUCCCUGUAAUCAUAGCCCCCCACUCGAUCAGUAAACAGUUUUUGUAUGUUAUCUGGUAGUUGUUUAUUCAUAGCUUUUUACAUCAGCAUAGCUGUUUGAAAUUCUUCUAGAUCUGGCAGUUUGAGGAAGCAGGACUGUAUAAAUAAUAAGUUAGUAUGGUCGUGGAAUCCUGCCUUAUGAACCAUUCUGAUGGCUCUUUUUUGUAAUGUGCAUAACGGUCGCAGCAGGGUUUUAUAGUUGUUGCCCCAUACUUCCACACAGUAACUCAAAAUAAGUGAGCAAUAUAGAAUAUGUAGUGCAGCAUAAUUUAGAAAAUGUUUAGCUUUGCUGAGAACCGCAAUACUUCUAGAUAUUUUAGACUGAAUGUAUUUAAUAUGCGGUUUCCAGCAAAUCUUAUGGUCUAUCAUCACUCCCAAAAACGUAAUUCCAUUAACUCUCUCCACCGACACAUCAUCUAUUUCGAUUUGCAAAUUUGUUUUGCUUUUGCAAUUUCUAAACAACAUAAACUUAGUCUUAUUGAAUUUUAAUGAUAAUUUAUUAAUAUCAAACCAUAUAAUAAGUUGACAUAACUCUAAGUUGAUUUCAGCCGAAAGCUGCUGCAAAUUAUCACCUGUACAAAAAAUAUUAGUAUCGUCUGCAAACCAAACAAACUUAAGUAUUUUAGAAACUUUACUGAUGUCAUUAAUAUAACGAAUAAACAGUUGACCUUAACAAGGAGAUUCUUCACCUCUUUUUGAAGGGUUUCACAUUUUCUUCUAGCAAUGCCUUCCUCCUGCCUGUGAUGGUCAUACUUGUCAUUUUUAACCUUCAAACAUUCCCAUCCUGCAACCUUUAUUCCGCUCAUGUGAAUUUUCAUGCGCAUAGACUUAAGAACUUCGCAGAUCUCCCUCAGGCUCAUAUAUUCUGCGUUGAACUGUUCAGAUGACUCUGGUGGUCCCUGGUUGGAAACCGGCAGAUUCGUUGUAUAUCCUUCAGCCAUUUCUCCUGUUUGAUUUAAAUGUUGGGUAAAAUACUUCUGUGUACGCGAUAAAACUUGAAAACAGCGUUGUAUUGUCAGUGGUCAAAGGUUAUGAACGGAUGCAGGACUGAGAACAGAAAGCGUGCAGCUCUCAAGAAGUCCAGUGAAGUUAUGAGGGACAAAAUGGAACCCAACAUCAAAGCACAUCGGAACACAGUGACACGUUCUAUGAUGUCAAUGGCGUUGCCAAGCAAAAAGGAACUACUUAUGUUGCAUCAUCGGUAAUGUGGACAUGAAAGAGAAAUCUGUUUUUUUAAGCUUCAAAAGUCAUAUAUAUCUGGUUAUAUGAGUAGAAAAUACAAACACUUUCAAUAUGUGAAAAUAUAAACAAUAAAAGUUAAAUUAAGAUUUAAACUUGAGACAGUAAUAAUGACUAUGUUGUGGGACCGGGUACUGCAUAGAUUUAAGGCAACAAGCGACCAACUCCAAAGAAGCGAUAUAGAUUUAGCUACUGCUCUUGGCUUUCUGCGCUCAUGUAACAUAGUUAGAAUGGAUGGCUAAAACCCUUCUAAACUGGCUGAACUACGCCAUCUACUGCCACAAAGUGGUACACAAACGGACCGUAAAAAGGACGGAUUGUGGGUAAUCCUCAGUGUAAUGGAGGAUUAAAAGAAGGUAACGUGUUUUGUUUAUGUCCGUGGAAAAUGUUUACUCAUUUCAUUUAUGGUGUAGCUAGCUUUAUUAUUUUAAAUGUCCUUUGUCUUUGUUUAAAGUUGCCAUGUUUUUAUUAAGUUGGUGAUAUGUUUUAUUGUCUGUAACAACAAUGUCCGUUUUUUUUUAGCUAGCUAACAUCCAUUUUAUGUCGUCCUUCUAGGUCCACAAUUUCCUUUGUGUCC